UUUUUGUCUGAAAACAGCAGCAGUUCCAUUAUUUAUUGAUAAUUACCCAUGGCAUAUGGGCAUUAUGAGUUUUACAUGGAAAUAAACAGAAAACAUAAUAAAAUUGAAAAGCAUGACAAGCUUACCAACAACAGUGAACAAGCCAAAACACACUGCUCUGACUUAGAGUCACUCUUGUUUUAUUUCUUUUAAUUAACGUUUAUUAGCAUGCACAUGCAGCUUGUGCAGAUAUGGCAAUGGAUUUCUAUGUUAUGUGGAUUCUGGAGCAAACCCACUGGAGAUUAUUAAAUGACUUGCGCUGCGGAGCCACGCAAUGCAAGAAAGCAGCUAGAAAGAUGGAAGUUCCAAUCAAGAGUACUGGCACAACGUCAGGAGGAGAGUUGGCUAUAAUCGCACACAUGUAAGCCCCAAUUGUAGAAGAUACUGAGAUUAGUAGCCAUGGAAGGAUUGGAAGAUUGUGCAAAAGGAAUGUGAUCAAGGCCAUUGAGGUGAAAAAGACGAUGGAGUUAAAGAACAGGAACAAACGCAUCAUUCUGCUGGGAUUAUUGCUUAGGUCUUUGACUCGAGGAAAGCUUGGUGGCUGAUAUGCUCCUGGUGGCUGAAAUGCUCCGAGAAGGGUCACUGCUGCUAACACAGUUGAUACAAUUAACAGCAAAUGGGCGCUUCCGUUUUGGAACUUAGAGUUGCCAGUAGACUCUGGAGGGGAUGGCUCGUGAUCCUGCUUCCCAACUACAAUCUGAAUUCCAACGUUGCUCCCAUCAUUUUUCUGUUCAAGAAUGUCUUUGCCUGUUAAAGCUCCAGCAAUUUCUAUUUUUCCCAGAAGCGACUCUGGAACUUCAAUUUUCUUAUCUUUUAGUAGUGUAUUCGAUGCCAUUCUGAUCAAAGCAACCUCAGCAUCACAAUUUUUCCGUUCAAAGUUCGCCAAAAUACUACGCUGAAAGGUAAAAAAGAUGAUCACAGUUUCAUGAUUAUAUCAAACAUCAAGUUAGAAAAAUGCAAAUUUAAAGAAUAAAAAUAAUAGAAAACACUACUCUAUCUGAUCUUUCGAACCAAUCAAUUAGCAUAAGAGGCAACGCCUUCUGUUAAGCAUACGAAUUAUGCAUAGAACUAAAUAAUAUGCAAUCACAUCUGCUCUAUUAUUUCACCAUCUACACUUAGUACUACACAAAUAUUUUAAGAUAUAUUGGAAAGUCUCCCAAUUGUUGCUAGACAUCUAAUAAACGCAUAAACAAAGCAAGAAAUGAACAUAUUUUCCUGGAAGAAUAGAGUUCACUAGAAAACUGACCAUGCGAGUUUUGGUGUCAACCCCAUUUUUGGAAACUUCCAUAGGCAAAUUCUCAUCAUCCUUUUCUGGAUUGCUUUUGAGGAAAGUAGGGAAAGGCAAAGGACGGAGCUUCGAUAACUGGUCUGGAACUACAAAUACAGGAAGCGGACGAAACAACGUCUCAUAUUUUCUCAAUGACAGGAAAGCCAGAUUGAACCUAUCCAAGCAAGUUUCGGCGUUUUCGGUAAGUUCCCAAUGCAAAUUCUCAUUAUCCUUUUCCGUAUCAUCCCAGAGCUUCGGUAACCUGUCGAAAUCUGCAAAAGAACCAGGGGGCAUAUCUGCCAACUCCUCACAUUUCUUCGUAUGCAGGACUUCCAGAGGCUUAAAAUCAUCAUCAUCAGAGAUCCAUUUUAGAGCAGUCCAUACAGGAGGAGAAGGCAGAUCUGCCAACUGCCAACAUUUUAAACCGUAAUACAUUUCUCCUUGCAAGAAAACCUUCAGCUCAACAAGAUGAACUGCCAAGAACAAAGAAAUCAAUCAAGAAGACAGGUUUUUCUUUAUUUUUUAUUUUCCAUCUUAUUUGUCG
rnacentral:misc_RNA from 1 species